UUUAGUGCUUCGAGUGCCCUAAGGUUCAUUUAUCUGAGCAGAGUGUUUCAAAGUUUCAGAAUGAGAAAGACGCAUUUGGCCAUGAAAUUUUUAAGCCCAGCCUUCACUAAAGCAGCUGUUAAUUGCAAGACCGCCCAGCUCUGACCCACUUAGGGAGUCGAUGGGGUAGAAUGUGACUCCCUCCUGGCGUUCCCAAAUGUCCUAGUCACAGCACCAGACCCAGUGGCAGUAGGCCGGCCAAAACCCCGAUAGCUGAUCUGGACUGCACUGGGUUGGGAUCUGCUUGUGUCUCCAUGGCAGCCUUUAAUGUUGCUUCCAAGAAAACGGAGCGCUUUUCUCCAAGCAGGAGAAGAUGGAGGACAAGCGCACACAGGAACAGCCAGGCCGGGAGACAAAUGGUUUCCAGGAAACACAGGCCAGGCUUGGAGUGAAGAAGGUCCAACCCAUGAGCCACGCAAGGACAAGGGGCCCAAAUCCAUUUUCUGCAAACAGCACGCACAACCCUUUGGGUCAGCUGGAAGCUCUGGUUUGCCUUCAGAUACUUCACACAGUGAAGUGGGCUUGCAGCCCUGGGCAGCGGGAUUUGUUUCUUAAAAGUUCUGCCCAGUAGUUUGCAGGAUGUCUUCUUGGAGACAGGCCAGUGUCAAGCAGGUCCCUGACCCGUGACCCUCGAAGGCCCCAUCUCUGAAGAGCAGCACCAAGCUCAAGACCCUGCACCUCCCUGUCAUCACCCACCCAUUGCCAGCCUCAGCCGGCACUGACACUGGGGCUGUGUGAUGGUGUGCUUGGUAACCAAAGGCUGCAGAACAAAGUGUCCCAAACGGCGGGUUGAAACAGCACGAAGGGGUCCUACAGCCAUUGGAGGCCAGAAGCUGACAAUCAAGAGAUCCGCAGCGCCCUGUCCCCGAGAGGCCCUGGCUCCCGCUUGCCUUCCUGGUGGCUGGUGACUCCCAGGGCUCUAUCUUCCAUCUGCUUGUGGCUCCCUCCUCUUGGUCUUCCCCUCUGUCUCUUGAAGUAACAGCUGACGUCCCUAAAACCAGGAUGAUCCCUUCUUGUGACCUUGACUUCAUUCCCUCUGCAAAGAGCCUGCUUCCAAGUGAGACGUCGUGCGACUUCUGGCUCUUCCCCAAAGCCAGAAGGGCCCGGGAGGGAGAUGCUCCAAAUGGAUUCAGGACACCGAGGCGGCCAUGACAGCACAGCUCAAGACGCUCACGAAAGAGGACAAGGACUUGGAAGGGGCUGAGGCUCCCCUCUCCUUGCAGGCCCACAGCAAGCUGCAGGGUCACAGCCCUGCUGAAGACCUGAGACUCCCAGGUCAGACACAAGGGCUGUCAUUAUCCACUGCACACAAGGCUGCCGAGCCUCCUGCUGUCCUUGGUUCUCCCCUGACCCUGCCUGUCCCACAGGGACAACAGGGACCAGCCAGAGGGAAUGAUGUGCACAGCAGGGUCGUGACACAGCUGAGGAGCCCCACGCUGGAGAAACCCCAAUUUUUGGUAACGGCCUGCAAGCCGACCUGCCCCACUUUGCCCUGGGGGAGAUGUCACCCUACCAAUCACACCUGUGCUCCACACACAGAUUCUCUGGUCCCAAGGCUGUUGGCAAUGUGUGCACCCCUGAAAAGAUCGUCCAGAGGAAAAAGUGGGUUCCCAAAACAUGCAGCAUCACCCAAAGAGCGGUCCCCUGAUGUGCUCCUUGCAGAGAUGGUGGCGCGGGCGGCCCUGUGACACUGGCAGCUUCUCUGAAGCACUUCAGAGCAGUCACUGCUGACUCCAGACUGUGCUCUGCCGGCUUUCAGGAGCUCCCACCUCCCCUGGGUAUCUGGCUAGCGUGCUCCAGGGAGGCCAGGCGACUCUGGCAGUGAUGCUCUAGAACACUGGCUCUCAAGGCAGGGUCCCCGGACCUUCAGCCUUGGGAUCUCUUGGAAACUGCAGGCGUGGCCCACUUGGCUGUGUCAUCUCCAAGGGCUAUGGGAGCCCGGGAAGCUGGUGCUCACCGGCCUUCAAGAGCCUUCCAGGGCCUCUGAGAAGGAGGCAGAGGAAAGCCCUGGUGCUUCCCAGCUGACACCCCACUGAGCAGCUCUGCACAGCUCAGGCUGGAAUUCAGCAGGUCUCCCGGUGAUAGACCAGGACAAGGGGAAGGGAAGAGGGGGAGGAGGAGGGAGGGAAGGAGACAGAGAAAGGGGAGAGGGAAGGAGCUGAUGCGCUCCUGUCCCACUAGCUGGGCCACUUCUCGCCUGACCUUCACAGCACGUGUCAGAGCCACACGGCUCUGCUUCCUGUUGGCCUGAGCUCAUGACCCUGGGACUCAGAUCCUCCUGCCCAGGACUCAGGUCCGCUCACCCAGGGACUCAGGUCCUCCCGCCCAGGGACUCAGGUCCGCUCACCCAGGGACGCAGGUCCAAGCAGCUGUCCUGGCAGUACCCCACCACGACCACCACGAGGGUCUGCUCUGUCUCCUCUAAAGCCUCACCCAGUCUGUAGCUGUCUCUGACAAAGGGCUCCCCAGUAUUCCAGAGUGAGGUUUCGCUCUGGCACCCCAGGCCAGCCUCCAGGGCAAGUCAGGCACCAGGACGUAGGGACAGACAUCCAUCCUGUCCUUUCCCAGAGUCUCGUGACUCUGUCUCUGUCGUCAGUUUCUGUGUUCAUGUCCAGGGGCACUUUGACCCCUCUUGCACUCAGACUCCUGGAGGCCUCUGUCACGAGUGUGGGGAGCCUGUUCUCAGUCCCCUCUGCCGCCCCUGCUCUGUCCAAGCCGAAGUGUUCCCCACACAGAAUAAACCAGCAGAGCCAGAGUUCUUGACAGCAGUAACCAGAGCUGCACCUACAGGUCUCCCUGGUAAUCUGAAGGGUACACACUGCUCAGUCAAUACACCCGAAUGCCUGCUUCCUGCCAGGUACUGGGCGAGGCCCAGGGACGCACAGGUAUUGAAGGAGAAGAAAGAGCUCCUGGUUUAAGAAAAAUGUAAGAGGCCAUUACGAUCAAAGGUGACACAGAAGAUAAAGGUGACGGCAGCUAGCAAAGGGCGAAUCCCAGGCUGGGCUGUGCUCCAGAGCAGUGACAUGGGACCCCUGCUCCUCCUCACACACCCCUGCAGAGCCAGUACUGCUGGUGAUUCUGCUUAGCAGCCUGGAGAGGAGGAGGCUCCAGGGAGAACAGCCCUGAGGAGGUGUCGGGGAGCUGAGCCUCAAGGAAUGAACCUUUCUGCAAAGCUCCGUCCGUCCCUGUCAGUCUGUCUUCUAGGCUGUGCUCGGGAAAGAUAGCAUGGGCUGUUCAGUGUGGUGAGCUUCUUUAGUCAGGACUUGAACAAGGGAAGGAGACUAAGUUGAUGAAUAAAGAAAAAUCUGGAAAGUUUGCUGGCCAAUGCAACUUCAAAGUUGGGCAGCUGGGCAGCCUUUGGGCACAGCCGUAUCUAGGGGCUUCUUGGACAACAGUGGGAUUUACUCUCCAUGCAGCUCCUCUUGGGUCUCUUUUUUCUAGUCUUUAUCAGGCAGGGUGAGUUCCAAAGAGUAGAAACAGGGUGGGUUUCUGUUACCUUCAUAGCUGGCAAGCUCACUGAGUAGAGAUCGCAAUCUUUUUUUUCUACAGAACCCAUUUCAUUCUCCCAAAGGCUUCUGAUUGGUUCUAUUUAGGUCACAUGACCAUACCUUGGUCAAUAUCACAGGGCAUGGACUGCUCUGAUUGGCUAAUUUUGGUCACGUUCCCAACCUGGCUAAGGAUUCAGAGCUAUGUGCUGACAAACACUUCCAGGUGGGUGAAGGGCACGCCAAAGGAAAGGGGGCCCCAAGCCCAGUGCCUGAUGAACAGUUUUCCAGGGGGCCAGGGGCUCCCUCCUUCUCUGUCACAGGCACCCAUCCCACCCUGCAUCUGGAAAUGUUUCUCUGCCCUCCCACCCCUGGUGGCCCUGGUUGCCUUCUAGGCUGUCUUCUCCUGUCCGUUCCAGCCUGAGCAGGCCUGAGGUGUCCAGCAUGGGCACGGCCAGGAGGACAGAGGUGGAGCAAAGACAUGAACAGGCCUUCCACUGGUACGCAAUUAAAAACCCAGACACAGACUUCCAAUGAGUCCCAGAAAAUCACUGGAUUUGUUGGAAAAAGAAAAAGACAGGCAGGUGGGACUCUUGGAAACGAGAGGGAAUUAAUUGACUGUGGAACUGAGCACCAUGAAAUUAAAGAUAAUUUAAUAGGAAGCCCAGGUACUAUUGUCUGGCUCUCUGCUAAGCGCAGGAGGAAUACCUGAUAGGCAGGAUGCCUGCCGAACAGAGGCCACGCUGGGCGUGCAGCAGCGCGGACCCCUGGGGUUGGCUAGUUGUCUGGGAACCCAGUGAUGGGUCAGGAGACCUGAUCUAGGAUGGCUCCUGUCGCCAUGGAGACAGACAUGCCGUCUUCCCAGGGUCCUGCUACAGUGGGUGAGAAGGUCACAAGGGGGCUGGGUCUAGGACGAGAGCAAACAAAUUAGCAUCUGGGGCUCCUGGUGCCUAAAGAAACCCAGGGGCAGCUUGUCCCUUCUGAACUGCAGCCCCCUCAGUUUCUGAGUGAAGCCCGUGUCAGCCGGCACUGGGACACCCCUUUGCUGGCGGACAAGGUGAGUUUAUGCUGCACAGAAGCAGUAUUUAGAAAUGUUUAAUAGUAAUGUGUUUCCCAGGCCAAUCACCUUCCAUGCAAAUCACCUUCGAUUUUUGAUGCACAGCUACAAUACAGAAUUUUCCUAUGAAAUAUGUUUGCUUUGAGUUCACUUAAAGAAGAAUUCUUAAGGAAGUUAUGGCACCAGUGGACCACAGUCUGGAGGGCGGCCCCCAUGUGGCUGGUGUUUGGGAAACACUCCUGGCACUGGAGACUAGAGACAGAACAUCAGUGUCAGAACUGCUGGUGCAAGGCACUGGGCUCGAGGUGUCUGGCAUUUGCACACCAACCUGAAUGGCAGUGUGCAAAGGGCUUUGGGGAGGGGUCUGCCCUGGAAACCCAGCCCGAGCUGCCACCAUGUCUUCUCUCUGCCUGGGACAGAUAGCGCUGCCAUCCUGGAUGCCAUGCCGGUUUGAAUCCUGAUCCUCCGAAACUUAAUAUUUCGUGACAGCCACCGUAUGCCGUCAGCCCUGCUCCUUCCACACGGCUGUCAGUGUCAACAGCCCUGUCUUCUGGACGUCUGCUAACGAGUGGCCUCUGUGGAAGGCAGAUUCCUUUCCCUGGGAGAAACAGCAGUGGUGCAAGCCUCCGGGCUGGCCCCGGCCUGCAGGCCUGGUGGCUUCCUGAGGACCCUGUCCUCCUCCGCAGGACGCGGCUGGAUGCUCCCGUGUGUGCCGGCGAGGAAGGGUGGUCGUCGCCGCCCGUCUUCGCAGGGGCUGGAGUGGCCGGAUGGACAGGAAAGCCUGUCUCUCCCACCCCGGCCGUGCUGGCUGUCGCCCAAGCAGCCAGCCCCGUGUGGCGGGAGCCCAUCCAGCUCCCAGCGCUGUCUAGACAGCCAGCGUGCCAGCGCUGCCAGGCCCGAUCGCGGCUGUGUGUGUGAGUGUGUGUGUGUAAUUACCCUGGAAAGUCUGCCACUGUGGAAAUGUAGGUCAUUCCGGGGCGGCCGGCGGCACUCACAGCGCAUCGAGGUCACGGCGGCCUGGGAGCCAGCUUAACCGGGGUGGGCACGUGAGGGGCAGACAGGCUGGGGUCUCUCUGUGCCUCUUUCUUUGAGGACAUUUCAGGUUUUCUCACAUCUUCAGCCUAAGGCAUGUGGCCUUCCUAUCACAAAAGCAAGAACAAGUGUGGCAUUGUACGUGUUAAAUAAGAUCUUUCAUGCGGCAAACUUUCACUGGGCCCGAGCGUCCUACGAAGCAAUUUCCCCUGCAUGGUCAAUGUCAUCCCAUCCCCACAGCAGCCCGAAGAGGAAAAUCCUGUUAUCAACACAAGAACCCAAUAUGUAAUCUCUAGUUAUGUUUUACGGACAGGGAAACUGAGGCUCAGAAAGCCCACCCCAAAAAUCAUUUUGCUAAUGACAUGCUAGUCUCUCCUGUUCUUGUCAUGGUGGUGUAUAAUAUUCUCAUUAAUUCUCCAGCAACUUGAUAAUAGUUGUUCCCAUUUUAUAGGCCAGGAAACUGAGGUGCAAGAGAGACCAAUAUAAAGUUAAGUGUGAUUCAAACCCAGUCUUAGUCCAGGCGGAGCUCUCAAACCCGGCACCCCCUGCUGUAGUGUUCAGAAUUCCCUGAGGAGGCUGGAGUCCCUUGUCAGCUUAGACGAAUCAUUCCGAUUUAAAAAGGUGGAACAAGGAGCAUUUGGCUACAAAGAGUUAAGCUUGUGUCCUGGUAAACAAAGGCGGCUCCAGGGUGCUGUGAGCCCA